GACGAACGCUGGCGGCGUGGAUUAGGCAUGCAAGUCGAACGGUAGGAUACCUUCGGGUAUCUGAGAGUGGCGAACGGGUGAGUAACACGUAGGUGAUCUACCCUCAAGAUUGGGACAACCCAGGGAAACUUGGGCUAAUACCGGAUGAAAGCAGCAGUGAUGUUGUUUGAAAGGUGGCGUAAGCUGCCGUUUGGGGAUGAGCCUGCGCUCUAUUAGUUAGUUGGCGGGGUAAAGGCCCACCAAGGCGAUGAUAGAUAGGCGGCCUUAACGGGUGGUCGCCCACACUGGGAUUGGAGAUACGGCCCAGACUCCUACGGGAGGCAGCAGUCGAGAAUAGUCUACAAUGGUCGGAAGACUGAUAGUGCGACGCCGCGUGAACGAUGAAUCCCUUCGGGGUUAAAGUUCUUUUAUAUGUGAGCAGUGCUUCUUAUAUUAACAGUAUGGGGAAGAGAUAUUAGCAUAUGAAUAAGCAAACGGCUAAACUCCGUGCCAGCA
rnacentral:rRNA from 1 species